rnacentral:rRNA from 1 species
CGUAGGGUGCGAGCGUUGUCCGGAAUUAUUGGGCGUAAAGAGCUCGUAGGCGGUGUGUCGCGUCGGCCGUGAAAACCUGCAGCUUAACUGUGGGCUUGCGGUCGAUACGGGCAUCACUGGAGUUCGGCAGGGGAGACUGGAAUUCCUGGUGUAGCGGUGAAAUGCGCAGAUAUCAGGAGGAACACCGGUGGCGAAGGCGGGUCUCUGGGCCGAUACU